GAUGAACGCUGGCGGCGUGCUUAACACAUGCAAGUCGAACGGAAAGGCUCCUGCUUUCAGGGGUACUCGAGUGGCGAACGGGUGAGUAACACGUGGGUGAUCUGCCCUGCACUUCGGGAUAAGCCUGGGAAACUGGGUCUAAUACCGGAUAGGACCACUUUAUGGAUGGUGUGGUGGAAAGUUUUUCGGUGUGGGAUGAGCUCGCGGCCUAUCAGCCUGUUGGUGGGGUAAUGGCCUACCAAGGCGUCGACGGGUAGCCGGCCUGAGAGGGUGUACGGCCACAUUGGGACUGAGAUACGGCCCAGACUCCUACGGGAGGCAGCAGUGGGGAAUAUUGCACAAUGGGCGCAAGCCUGAUGAAGCGACGCCGCGUGGGGGAUGACGGCCUUCGGGUUGUAAACUCCUUUCGCUAGAGACGAAGCGCAAGUGACGGUACCUGGAGAAGAAGCACCGGCUAACUACGUG
rnacentral:rRNA from 1 species